AGCAGCCGCGGUAAUUCCAGCUCCAAUAGCGUAUAUUAAAGUUGUUGCAGUUAAAAAGCUCGUAGUUGAAUUUCGGGAUCAAUACGUUGGUCGUGCUUUCGGGUACGUACUGGCGUCAUUGGUUUCUCUCUUCUGACGAACCAUGAUGUCAUUAAUUUGGUGUUAUGGGGAGUUAGGACUGUUACUUUGAAAAAAUUAGAGUGUUUAAAGCAGGCUCGCGCUUGAAUACAUUAGCAUGGAAUAAUGAAAUAGGACGUUUGAUUCUAUUUUGUUGGUUUCUAGGAUUGACGUAAUGAUUAAUAGGGAUAGUUGGGGGCAUUAGUAUUCAAUUGUCAGAGGUGAAAUUCUUGGAUUUAUUGAAGACUAACUACUGCGAAAGCAUUUGCCAAGGAUGUUUUCAUUAAUCAAGAACGAAAGUUAGGGGAUCGAAGACGAUCAGAUACCGUCGUAGUCUUAACCAUAAACUAUGCCGACUAGGGAUCGGAUGAUGUUAAUUUUUUUAAUGACUCAUUCGGCGCCU
rnacentral:rRNA from 1 species